GACGAACGCUGGCGGCGUGCUUAACACAUGCAAGUCGAACGGAAAGGCCCUGCUUUUGUGGGGUGCUCGAGUGGCGAACGGGUGAGUAACACGUGAGUAACCUGCCCUUGACUUUGGGAUAACUUCAGGAAACUGGGGCUAAUACCGGAUAGGAUCUCCUGCUGCAUGGUGGGGGUUGGAAAGUUUCGGCGGUUGGGGAUGGACUCGCGGCUUAUCAGCUUGUUGGUGGGGUAGUGGCUUACCAAGGCUUUGACGGGUAGCCGGCCUGAGAGGGUGACCGGCCACAUUGGGACUGAGGUACGGCCCAGACUGCUACGGGAGGCAGCAGUGGGGAAUCUUACACAGUGGGCGGAAGCCUGAUGCGGAGACGCCGCGUGCGGGAUGACGGCCUUCGGGUUGUAAACCGCUUUCGCCUGUGACGAAGCGUGAGUGACGGUAAUGAGUAAAGAAGCACCGGCUAACUACGUG
rnacentral:rRNA from 1 species